ACCGCGGGCUGGAACGCCCCGCGCACCAGGAAUGUCUUGUAGGCGCCCGCCCCCACCGCGCGCCGGACGCGUCCCUGCCCCUUGUACACACCGCCCGUCGCUCCUACCGAUGGGCGCGGCGGCGAGCGCCCCGGACGCGCGAAGGGCCGCGAGCCCCCGCGCCUGGAGGAAGGAGAAGUCGUAACAAGGUAUCCGUAGGUGAACCUGCGGAUGGAUCC